GUGGUGCGUGCCGCUAAGUUGUGCGUUCCAGGGUGCACUCGCCGGCGAGGCUGCACGGCGCCGGUUUCAUUGCUAAAAUCCGACGGACUUGUUGCAGAACUCGUUUUUUUUGUCGGGAAAGGGCUUCCCCGUGUAACUUUACAGCAGUUAUCGUAGAUAAGACUUGCAAAUUACAGAUGUGGACGGUGAGGGAACGGGAAUUUCACUGAAAGCGCCUGAGAACCAGUAAGAGACCUGCAACAGCUUUGUGCUCCACUGGCGAAUGCUUCCUCCCCUAAUACACAUUAUGUGUGCUUGGAGACACAAGGAGUAAGAUACAGCCCCUCAAGGGACUCGUCAUAGGGAGAGGACACAGCUUUGGGAAUAAAGGGGCCACAAAGGAGGAGAGAGGAGUUUGCUGAAACUUCCCAAGCUCCCAUUCCAGCAGUUCCUGAAGGAUUCAUUUCUCUCUGAGGAUCUCAUGAGGUGGCUUAGCAGCUAGAAUCUCUUCCUUAACAGUGGGAAGAACAACUCCUGGAAAUUUAGGUCGACUUUGACUGGAUUUAAAAGAAAGCUGUACAAUUCCACUUCUGUAUAUACAACCAAAGGAAAUGAGAUGUGCAUACCCAUGUUCAAUGAAGCAUUAUUCACAAUAGCCAAAAUGUGGAACCAAUCCUUAAACAAAAGGAAAACAGAAAAUCUGCUCAAGGCACCUGAGAAAAUCACAACCCACACUUGCGAACCCCUAGGAGACCUAAAGCUGUGGUUUUACAAAUAAACAGAUAAGUAACAUUCCUACUCUUUCCUAUAGGUACUCAAUCUUCUUAACAACUCCCAUCCCACACAGGUUUGCAUCCCCAGCAGAUACAUAUGGCUAUGUGGUCACCCAUUCGAUCAGCCUAUAAAAGACUUGUCUUAUUUGAUAUUGUGAAACCCAUGGUUAUCAGUGUAUAUGAAAAUGUUUGGUUCAGGGGUCAAUGUACAAUAUGACAAGCAAAGUCCUCUAAUACACAGUUAUAUAAAAUCACUCACCUGAGAGCCAAGUGGACAAUUGGCCUUAUAUUGGCUGGAGUUGGAGCCCCAGAGGGAAAAUUUGCCUAUUAUUAGGCAACUCUUCAAAACUUUACUUAUUCGUUUCUAAACACUGUCUCAUAAAAUGGGGGAUGCUUUAGAUGAAUUAAGAUUAGCACUAGAUUACUUAUUCGUUGAAAAUUAGCACUAGAUUUCUUAUUGGUUGAACAAGGAGGAGUGUGCACCAUAAUCAAUAUAACCUGCUGCAGUUAUGUAAACACCUCAGGUCACAUAGAAGAAGAUAUACAGAAAAUACAUGAACAAGCUGUGUGGUUGCGUAAAUAUAACCAAGGCACCAAUCCCAACUGUAUCUGGUCAGCCAUUAGAAGCACCCUCCUGAGUCUCACUUGGUUGUUGCCCUUCCUAGGAACUUUGAUAGUUGUCUUAUUAUUAAUCUUUGGCCCUUGCUUGUUUAAAUUCUUGGUAAAGUUUGUGUUUUUUAGAUUACAACAAUUCCACAUAAAGAUGAUACUGACACAAAGCUUCCAAUCCAUCCCGUCUUCUGAACCGGGAAAUAAAGACACCCUGCCUUUAGGUGUCUUUAGAUCUAGAUCAGGCAUCUAGAGAUUUUUACUCCUCCAAUACUUGGCAGGGUCUAUGCCCGUAGACUCAUCAGGAUACCAUGUAAAUGAGGACCUCCCUUGGUACCCCAGAGGCCAACUGUAGACCCUUAUGAGAAAAUCCUGUCCCCAAAAUGAACAUCCACUGUCAGCAGGAAGAAGUUACAGAAGACCAGCCUUUGCCCUUACGAUUAAGGGUCCUCUUGUAAGUAGAGAGGGGAAUGUUAGGAAAGCAGGAGCCUAGGUGAUCCAGAGUGACACCAUUUUAAAAUAAACUCCACCUGAAAACUAGCAAGGCAUCUGCACACAUCUGUUUAGCAAGUAUAUACUUCUGUAACUGGAAUAAAAAGCGUUAUUUUAGAAUAUGCCUAUAGUUUGUAAUAAUUAGCCGAGGGAAAAAAAGUUCACAUUGGUGUAGGAAAAGUGCCCUAAUGGUCAUGGGUAAUAAUGGGACCGUGGUUCUGGUCAGUGAUUUGAUGGAAGGGGUGUAGAUAAUAUAUUGUUGUAAAUAAUAAAAAUAAAAAAUUGUUGUAAGUAAUAAAAAUAAAAUAAUAUUGUUGUAAGUAAUAAAGUAGGAGAAAUAUUUGGUCUUUUGCUUUUGGGUUAGUGCAACAGUAGUACCAUUACUUGGAGGAGAAGUUAGAGAAGGACAAGAAUAGGCUUGAAUAAGAUGAGUGAGAAGAGAGAAAAAUUCCGUAAGUGGAGAUGGCCAGGGAACACCAGGGCAGCAGAAUCUAACUCUGAAUUUAAUGCUGUUGUCUGUUCAUAUUGCACUGCGCUGUAAUCUCCCUAUCUUUCCUAAACCAUUGGCAAAGUCUGCUAUCCACUGGGGCCUUGGGUCGGUGGUGCUUUGGGAAAUACCAGAAGAGGGAAAGUACGGCAAAUGUGCAGUGUCACAGAUGAUAGGAGGAAAGCUGGCCAGUGGGAUGAUUAAAACAAUUUCGGUGGGAGUGGGAAUUCAGACCAUGUAAAUGGUCUGAAUUAAGAAAAUUUCAAGAAACAAAAAAUGUUUCUAAUGAGCCAAAGUGAAAGCUCUUCAUGAUUUCUUUAUAGAGGCUCUCUAGUGCUUGUCCUAAUUUCCUGAAAUCUCAUGGGUAUCUUACUCUCCUGGUGCCCGCCUCAAACAUUCACUGUAGCAAUUAUAUGAGCAGCCUAGAGAAUCCCAAUCCCAGUGGUCUUGCUCCCUGGAUCUACUUUCUCUUAAAAAUCAUUCCCCUAAGUUUCCGUCACUUGGUUGAAGUUUAGUAGAUAUCUCCACAUCUCCAGCUAGAACAGCACCAGAAUUUCAGGACUAGGGCAAUAGAGUCUGAUAUUAAAUUCUAUUUCUAUCUAUCUAUCUAUCAUCUAUCUAUCUAUCUAUCUAUCUAUCUAUCUAUCUAUCUAUCUAUCUACAGAACAAUUUGUGGGAUAGUAGCUUUGGGGUCCCAGAUCUAGGAUGGGCCUGGUCCUCCAUGCUGGUUCUCCUGGGUGAUAUUUCUGUUAGUUUGAACAGUAAUCACACUUUUAUUACUGUUUCAUCUUUUUUUUUUCACUCUUAGACUGAUUUUAUCAUGUGUAUAAAACAUACACACACCUACAUCUCAAGGAUAAACAUUAAUCCUUGAAAAAUAUGUGGUCUAAAACUAUAUUGAGGAGAGAAAGAUAGGACACUUUAAUUGCCACAUGAUUAACACGAGGUCACCACACAGCUUUCACAAAUCUACAAGUCAUUCUAUUUAGGCUGAGUCAAGUUCUCCCUUGGGCCAGCCAGAGCACAAAUAAUGGAGCAAUGUGACUCUUCAAUGACAGAUCUCUGAUUUCCAGAAAAGAGACUUUGAAAUACCCAAUUCUAGUAAAUAUGCAAUUAAAUUUCCAGCUAAAUGACCUUUGCUCCUGUAGUCUUCAUCUUGGGGAAGGGAAAGAAGUCUUAUUCUGUUUAAUAGUUUGAUUUUUAUAAUAGGGUUUGUCUCUGUUAUAAAUCUUGUUUGAUAUUUAAAAUGUUAGCUAAGAGAAAACUUCUGUUUGUUUUUAUUUAGUGGGAAGAAACUAACCCUCAUUGAGUGCCUAGUUAACAUCAGGCACUUUGUACACAUAAUCAAUUGAAUCUUGACCACAACCCUGUGAGGUGAAAAAUGAGAAGAUUAAAUAAGCCAUGGGAAGAUUUUUUAAAAUGACAUGAAACUCCAAGGGUAAAAAGUAGGCAUUUCCACCUUUCCCUGCUUCAUCCAUACCUCCAAAAACAGAACCCUUCAAAGAACGUCCUGAGAAGAACAACUGGCCACUGAUUUUGAGUUGAACACUGGCAGGCAACACCCCAACAACCACACAGACCCCAUAGCUCUCAUUGCAGGAGGCGAGGGCAGCUGCCUGUUAGAAAGUGAUGCAAUACAGUAUAGGGGUUAAAAGAUGUAUGUGAGGAUUGAGCCUACAUCUUAAUUUCAGCUUAACUCCUAAAUGGUCUAUGACUUUCUUUUCUGAUUCUCCCUAUUCUCAUUUGAAGUAACAUUUAUCUUGUAAGGAUGCUAUGAAACACAUAUAAGACGUUGUAUGUUGCUUAGUAUAGUACCUGGCACUUUAGGACUCAAUAAAUGGAAAUAACAAAAAUGAAAAUAGUAAAAACAUCCACAGUAGUGAUAAUAAUAAAAAUAAUUUUUAUAAAAAUUAUUACUGAUGCAGGUGGCUGGUAAGAAUUGACAUUUUUCUUUUAGACAUCUAAGAAGACAGAUAUUUAUAUAAUAAGAUGAUAGCAAAGUGAGAAACAGAUACCGUUACAUUCGUUAUGUUCAAAGGCUAUUUCUCAGAGUAAGAGUGUGAGAAAGGUUUUGCUGUUUCUUCUUACAG
rnacentral:lncRNA from 10 species